rnacentral:lncRNA from 1 species
GUUUUUCUCAUCCCUAUGCUAUCAAUGAAGAACCACUCAGGGUUAAAUGACUUGCCUCACAUCACCCAGGCAGGAAGUGGCUGGAGGUUUUGAAUCUGGGAUCGGCUUGCUCUACACCAUUUCACAAAGGUGGCGACCUGUGAGUCCCGGUGCUGAGAACUUCACCAGCCAGCCAGGAUGGGAGGAGGGGCUGCAGGGAGAGACCAUGGCGGGGCCUGGAGAACUCCUGGUUCCAAGUCUGUCUCCCAGCUGCUGCACAAAGUAACCAUCUGAGCCGAGGCACAGAGGCAGGAAGGUGGACAAGGCAGGACAGAAGAGGACUCAGAUGGAGCGCCUCAAACCUCAGGCUGGAGGGAGACUCUUCUGAUCUGAGCACUGGUCUCCCUCUGCGAGAGUUCUCAACAAUCAGCAUUUAUUUAAUAUCCCCGUGAGUGAUUUACAGGAGCACAACUUCACCAAGGAAAGCUGGAAAACUGGCAGGAAAACCGCCUGGGAAGUUAGUACUUGUUUUAUUUUAUUUUUUUAAAAAAGGAAAAAAAAGGCUGGGCGCGGUGGCUCACAC